rnacentral:rRNA from 1 species
UACGUAGGGGGCAAGCGUUGUCCGGAAUCAUUGGGCGUAAAGAGCGUGUAGGCGGUUCGAUAAGUCGGCUGUGAAAGUCCAGGGCUCAACCCUGGGAUGCCGGUCGAAACUGUCGGACUAGAGUUCGGAAGAGGCGAGUGGAAUUCCCGGUGUAGCGGUGAAAUGCGCAGAUAUCGGGAGGAACACCAAUGGCGAAGGCAGCUCGCUGGGACGUUACUGACGCUGAGACGCGAAAGCGUGGGGAGCAAACAGG